rnacentral:rRNA from 1 species
AUGUUGCGUUACAGGAUCCCCCUCUUCGCGGAAGAUGCCAGUAUUUUUGCAAACACGGACAAGGACGAAUUGCGCGCGAUCUCUGCUAUCCUCGCGGCGUUUAGUGAGGCUAGGGGCCUUGUCACCAACCUGGCAAAAUCUGAGGUCUUCCCCAUCCGCUGCAACGACAUUGACCUCGUGGACAUCCUGUCGACCUUCCCGGCCAGGGUCGCGGCUUUCGCGGGCCGCUAUCUGGGGUUUCCUCUCUUCCUCUUCACUUCCAUCAACUUCGCAAGGCCAACCUUCAGCCACUCAUUGACAAAAUCGCUGGAAGACUUCCGGGACGGAAGGGGAAAAUCCUUAAGAAGCCCGGAAGGGUGGCUCUGGCCAAAUCGUCCUCACCGCCACUGCCACCUUCCACCUCACCGCUCUUCCCUUCCCGAAAUGGCUGUGGAACAAGAUCAACAAGAUUACCAGGGGAUUCUUUGGGCUAAAGAUGACCAAGAGCAGGCAUCUGGGGGCACUCGCUGGUUAACUGGAAAACCGUGUGCCACCUGA